CUUCUGAAGUGAUCGCCCCCGUAUAGGGUUCGAUCUCUGUGCUUGUAGUGCUAGUCCCUGGAUCGACUCACUAGCACACACAGUUUCAAGAUGAAAUAUCGAGAUACAAAGGUCAAAGUAUUUUAUUCCUUCAGGGAAGACGGCCCUGACAGGUGGGGUCCACCUGUUAGUGGCUGCGGUUAGGCGCGCGGGCUAGCUGGGCGGGCUCGCUGGCUAGGCCAAUCUGUCGGUCGCGCGGGGAACUAGGUCGGUUCGGCCCAAAUGGCCGGGCCGACCGCUUUCUCAUUUUUUUUUCUUUUAUCCUUUCCUUUCCUGUUUUCUUCUAGCUUUUGAAUUUGAACUCCAAAUCAACUCAAAUCAACUCCAGAAAACUUGUAAAAUCAUAUUGUAAUAUGAUUCAACUUUUGGGACUAAUUUCCCCUCAAAAUAAAAUAGUUAAAAAUAGUUUUGCUUAUAAAUUGCCUUUAGGGCUUUAUAACUAAUUAAAUAAAAUAGUUUUUCAACUCCAAAUUAAAUAAGAAAAAUAUGGGGUAGCAUUUAUGCAAUAAACCCCCUUUUUUUAAUAACCCCCUAUUGGUUUAAAAUUCAAAACUCAAUUG
rnacentral:lncRNA from 1 species